rnacentral:rRNA from 1 species
UCGAGGGGUAUAGUUCUUCGGAAUUAGAGACCGGCGCACGGGUGCGUAACGCGUAUGCAAUCUACCUUUUACAGAGGGAUAGCCCAGAGAAAUUUGGAUUAAUACCUCAUAGCAUUGCAGGAUGGCAUCAUCCAGCAAUUAAAGUCACAACGGUAAAAGAUGAGCAUGCGUCCCAUUAGCUAGUUGGUAAGGUAACGGCUUACCAAGGCUACGAUGGGUAGGGGUCCUGAGAGGGAGAUCCCCCACACUGGUACUGAGACACGGACCAGACUCCUACGGGAGGCAGCAGUGAGGAAUAUUGGACAAUGGGCGCAAGCCUGAUCCAGCCAUGCCGCGUGCAGGAUGACGGUCCUAUGGAUUGUAAACUGCUUUUAUACGAGAAGAAACACUCCGACGUGUCGGAGCUUGACGGUAUCGUAAGAAUAAGGAUCGGCUAACUCCGUGCCAGCAGCCGCGGUAAUACGGAGGAUCCAAGCGUUAUCCGGAAUCAUUGGGUUUAAAGGGUCCGUAGGCGGUUUAAUAAGUCAGUGGUGAAAGCCCAUCGCUCAACGGUGGAACGGCCAUUGAUACUGUUAGACUUGAAUUAUUAGGAAGUAACUAGAAUAUGUAGUGUAGCGGUGAAAUGCUUAGAGAUUACAUGGAAUACCAAUUGCGAAGGCAGGUUACUACUAAUGGAUUGACGCUGAUGGACGAAAGCGUGGGUAGCGAACAGGAUUAGAUACCCUGGUAGUCCACGCCGUAAACGAUGGAUACUAGCUGUUGGAAGCAAUUUCAGUGGCUAAGCGAAAGUGAUAAG